CUUCUCUCUCAGGGCGGGGUGGAGGAGGCGGAGCUCGGGCCUUCUUAUCUCCGGAGCCAGCUUCGGCUCUCUGGCGUGGGGCCCCUCAGUCCGAGCUCUUUGCCAUGGGGUCUGUGUUCCCCCUGUCGCUGCUGCUUUUGUUAGCGGCCUCAUACUGGAGAAGUGGGACCAUACUGGGUCGCCGGGUUAGGCGGGCACAAGGUCCCAGGGAAAGCCCUCCCGCACCCUCCGGGACCUCAGCGUCAUUCUGGGUGCGCAUAAACCCGCAGUCCGUGGCCGUGCGGCCGGGGGCCUCAGUGUGGCUCAACUGCAGCAACAGCUGCCCCCUGCCGCCGAAUUCCAGCCUCCACACCCAGCUGCGGCGGGGCAAGACGUUCAGUGGGCCGGGUUGGGUAUCUUACCAGCUGCUCGACGUGAGGGCCUGGAGCUCCGACGUCCGCUGCUUCGUCACCUGCGCAGAAGAAACGCGCGGGGCCACCGCCAGGAUCACGACCUACAAAGCACCGCACAGCGUCAUACUGGAGCCUCCGGUCUUAGAGGGUGGCAUGUAUACUCUGCGCUGUCACGUGACGCGCGUGUUCCCCGUGGGCUUCUUGGUGGUGACCCUGAGACGCGGCAGCCGAGUUAUCUAUUCUGAAAGCCUGGAGCGCUUCACUGGCCUGGAUCCAGCCAACGUGACGCUGACCCAUGCAUUUCACGCCGGAUUCCGCGACCUCGGGCAGCCCGUGACGUGCCUCGCGCGCCUCAAUCUCGACGGCCUGGUGGUCGGCAGCAGCUCGGCACCCAUUACGCUGACGCUCGGUUAGAACUGGUGCUUCCCAGGAGAUCAACCCAACCGUGCGUGUAGCCAGAGCUCACCAUUAACGCCGGGGGUCAGACCACACAUGUGGGUCACAUGGACAUAUAGAGAGACAUGGAUUCGCAGAAGAGGCAGAAUCCAGGCCCAUACUGGGUGCCUAGCAGAGCCGGCGCCAUCCAGAGCCCCGCCCGCCGGCGCGGAAGGCGGAUUCGCGCUCACACACGCAGAGAAGACACGUGCCCGCUGCACCCUGGGUAAAUACAGACCCGGAGCUGAGCCGAUUCUGAUUUAGACGCCCGCGAACGCUGCGCGCACGCACCCGUGUCCCCAACUCGCUGGCACUUUCUUCCCGCCCCCUCUGUCGCGUGCUGGGGCCGAGCGGAAGGGGGAUUAGGGGUGUGGCGGCGCGGGGUCAAAAGGAAAAGCAUCAGUGAGGGUGGCAUCCCCACGCUCUCCGCUAGAACUGUCCUUUCUCCAUCCUGUGCUUCCCAAACCUCUCCAAGCCCCCACAUCAAUCCCUGCCCUAAGAGGCGCUGGUAGGAGGAGCUAACGAUGGGGGCGGAGCUCGGAGUCCAGCUCAUUAUCAUAGCAUCCAAACCAGAGCUGGGGAGGGGGUUUGAGAAGGGCAACCCAGCAUCCCCCGACCUCCGAGUCGCCGCUGAGGAUGACGCGGGAGAGCGUGGUCGCCCCCAGAAGGCUCCGGGCGAUCGG